UACAGAGGUCUCAAGCGUUGUUCGGAUUCAUUGGGCGUAAAGGGUGCGUAGGUGGCGCCGUAAGUCAGGUGUGAAAUUUCGGAGCUUAACUCCGAAACUGCAUUUGAUACUGCGGUGCUUGAGGACUGGAGAGGAGACUGGAAUUUACGGUGUAGCAGUGAAAUGCGUAGAGAUCGUAAGGAAGACCAGUGGCGAAGGCGGGUCUCUGGACAGUUCCUGGACAGCUGAGGCAACGAAGGCCCAGGGGAGCAAACGGG
rnacentral:rRNA from 1 species